AUGACUUUCUUAGGAAGAGACCUGAGGCACAGGUCAGGAGCGUGGUCUCCAGGCCCAGCUUUGCCAUUCUCUGUGGCUUGGUUGAGGUCCCGACCCUCCGCCAGCCUAUAAAAUGAGAGAUUUGGGCUGGCUCAUCUAAGGCUAGAGCAAACACUGUGAUCCUAUGUAAACUCUUGCUUCUCUGUCCUAAAUGAACUGCACGCUAAAGAGAGACCGUUUCCAGGGCUGUACUGAGAGGGCAAAUUCGUUCAGUGGCAUCUCAAAAGUAUACCUUGAAUAGGAUUCCUCUGCAGAAUUGCACCUGCAUACCAUCAACAUGCCCCAGGAGUCUGACUCGGCCAGCUCUGACGUGCCUAUCUUUUCUAGGAUUGAAUAAAAGGAAUAUUAACUUUAAUCAAAAAAGUCAAGCCCUCUUGGCAUCACAUCAGCGCGUGCUCAAAUCACGGAAAAGGUUCAUCUGGAAUCCUGGAUCUACUUCCCUGCUGAGUCCCUCUGACACCAGUAGGGUGGCAAGACUCAAUUUCUCACCCUCAGGAAUGAAUGAUGGAAAAUACCUAAGUAGCAGCAGGCACCCUGCUAUUGGAGCAGGUCUGAUUUUCUCCUUCCUGGGAUGGUCUGAGGUUGGCCCAGGACAAGCUCCUUGAAGGCAAACACCAUUUUCCUUUUGGAUCUCUCAGUACCCAGCCCAGAGACUCGCAGAGCAAACAGGCAGAUAUUUGGUGAAUCAGUGAAAAUGCCUGGCGGCAGAGAUCUGACACUCUCCCAGAGAACAUGUAGCUGCAGAAAUGGCCUGGCAGUAGGGUGGUGCUGGCACCCACAGACCUCUGGCUGCAUUUCUCAGGCAGUCACAGAGGCGCAGGCUGAAUGGGCAGCCCCGAGUGCCCUGCACACCACACGGCGCCCUGUAGGAAGCACCAGACCACUGAGUCCCUGUGUGCUUCCCACCACCACAUUGAGGGCCAAAGACACCCUUGAACCAAGUUCCCUGCAGGAGUGCUCUUUAGAGAGCAGAUGUGGCGAUCAGUCUCUCUACACUGAAGGUAUGUGGAUCUUGGAUGCAGGAAAGGGACAGAGGGACCAUCCAAAAGGACUUGAUUGCAGGACAUGGUUAAGUCACCAUGAACAAGAACUUCUGACCCUUCCAGAAAAUAAGAGUGGUGGGGGAGCCACUGAGCAAGCCACUCUGUGCAGAGGAAGCCUGCAUCUCAACGAUGUGCUCCCAUGUGCCCUCAGAGGAUGGCUGCUCUCCACAUUGACAGCUGGAUUCAGAAAAUACAGCUCUCUUUGGAAAGCACACUUUUUAAAAAUGUAGACAGGCUCAUUUAAGAAAAACAUGGAAUGCUCAAACCCUGCAAUUUGUGGUCCCUUAUUCUCAACUUUAAAUUCAAGAACAAUCAGCAGCUUCCAUGGCUGUAAAGCGCGAGUGCAGGUCCUUCCGCUCUCCGCGCAGGCUUCCUGCUUCCUUCCUGAUCAUUCACUCCUCUUCUCCCUGCCCAGAGCUCCCCUCCACCCCUCCCACAGCACACACAGGUGGCCCCGAAGCCCAGAGCAUUCCCAACAAAGGGGCCAAACAAGUCCAAACCACCCUUGAAACCGCUUCCUUUCACUUGGGAUUUUCAAAACUUAACAAUAGGCUCCACACACAAAUACACUUCAGAUGGGCGGUGGCUCCCAGCUGGGUGUCACUUAGAGUCUCUGAGUAUCUCUGAGUCUCUGAGGCUGCAGGGGAGAUAGUUCUUCCUAACUUAAAGAAAGGACAAUAGAAACAUGACCACUAGGAAACAAGGCUUAACGCUUUAAAAGGAAAUUUGUGUUGAUUUAAGCCAAAACAUCAUGAACAACAUUAAGAUAUAUUUCUAGAAAUUAAAAAACUGCCAGGUGCAGCAGCUCGUGCCUCUAAUCCCAGACCUUGGGAGCCCGAGGCAGGAGGAUCUGCUUGAACCCAGGAGUUCCAGGCCAGCCUAGGCAAGAUGACGAGACCCUCAUUUCUACAAAAAUAUUUUUAAAAUUAGCUGGGUAUGGUGGCAUGUGCCUGUCGUCCCACCCACUUGGGAGGCUGAGGUGGGAGGAUCACUUGAGCCCAGGAGGUUGAGGCUGCAGAGAGCUGUGAUGACACUGCACUCCAGUCUAGGCAACAGAGCAAGAUCCCAUCACAAAAAAAAGAAAGAAAGAAUGACAAAGACCCUUGCCUAUGGCCAUCUAGUCAGUGGCAGAGCGGGGAGGGGACACCAGGGCUGCAGGACUCUGAAAUAAAGAGAGAGGUCCCAGUCUCAGCAGUGGUAUAGCAUCCUGUUUGGAUCACAGGCAAUUUUUAUUUCCAUGUUUUCUAUUAUGAAAAUGUAUUAACAACGAGAAAACUUUCACAGUUAUCUUUUAAAAACACAAGGAAUGAAUAAGUAGAUACAGAUGGCUUACAAAAUUAUUUUAAAGACUUGGUAAAUGUUCCAAAUCUAAUCACAGUGUCUAGUUUAUAUCUGCAGGCCUGGACUGUAACUGAAGAAAAAAGAGACUCAAUCGAUCAUAACCUGAAAGAGACUCAAUCGAUCAUAACCUGAUUUCUGAUAAAGGAUGUGUUGACUGAAGGAUGCUGCCCUGCAUACUGUUUAGAAAAAGCCAAAGAGAGACUUCAUCAGUGUUGAUGCACUUGGAGACGGGCUAUGUAUGAGCUCAUCUGCCAAGUUUGACAGAAACACCCUUGGAGGACUAAGCUCCCUGGUGGGUUCUGUCUCUGAGCUCACUCAACAGCUUCUGAUGACGUGGUCUCCUACGCAGCAUUCUCCUCCCAGGGGCAGAAACACACUCGUGUCAUUUGGUCAGCUUCAUCUUCUGCUAAUAUUUUAGGCCUGCCAAGCUAAGGACUAGACUCUGAAGGGUCAUCAGGAUUCGGGGACAGAAGAUAAACCAGGCUGCAUGACUGUGACCCCAGAUUAAGCCCCAUUAAACCCAAAGCUCACCCCACCUCUACACUUUCCAGGUACAGAUGAAGAAAAGCAAUUGACCACUUUCUUUAAGAAACGCCUUUGGCCGGGAGCAGUGAUUCAUGCCUGUAAUCCCAGCACUUUGGGAGGCUGAGGCAAGCAGAUCACAAGGUCAAGAGAUCGAGACCAUCCUAGCCAACAUGGUGAAAGCCUAUCUCUACUAAAAAUACAAAAAUUAGCCAGGCGUGGUGAUACACACCUGUAGUCCCAGCUACUCGGGAAGCUGAGGCGAGAGUGGCUUGAAUCCAGGAGGCGGAGGUUGAAGUGGGCCAAGAUUGUGCCACUGCACUCCAGUAUGGCAACACAGUGAGACUCAGUCUCAAAAAAAAAAAAGUCUUUGCACAUUCUUUUAUUUUUUUCUGAUUAUAAAAAUAAACACUCGUAUUCAAAUUGUAUUAAAAAUUCAAAUGGUGGCCGGGUGUGGUGGCUCACGACUGUAAUCCAAGCACUUUGUAGGCCAAGGCGGGCGGACCACCUGAGGUUGGGAGUUCAAGACCAGCCUGACCAACAUGGUGAAACCCCGUCUUUAAAAAAAAAAAAAAAGCAAGAAAAAAAAAUUCGAAUGGUUCAUAAUCAAACAAAUCAGUCCUUCUUAAUUCCCUGUCAUAAAACAGCAGACUUCAAAUGUUUUGGUCUCGUUUACACUCUCAAAAUUUACUGAAGGUCCCAAAGAGCUUUGGUUUAUGUGGAUUAUACCUAUCAAUAUUUACAUUACUAGAAA